rnacentral:rRNA from 1 species
CCUACGGGGGGCAGCAGUGGGGAAUAUUGGACAAUGGGGGGAACCCUGAUCCAGCCAUGCCGCGUGUGUGAAGAAGGCCCUCGGGGUGUAAAGCACUUUCAGUGAGGAAGAACGCCUGGUGGUUAAUACCCAUCAGGAAAGACAUCACUCACAGAAGAAGCACCGGCUAACUCCGUGCCAGCAGCCGCGGUAAUACGGAGGGUGCGAGCGUUAAUCGGAAUUACUGGGCGUAAAGCGCGCGUAGGUGGCUUGAUAAGCCGGUUGUGAAAGCCCCGGGCUCAACCUGGGAACGGCAUCCGGAACUGUCAAGCUAGAGUGCAGGAGAGGAAGGUAGAAUUCCCGGUGUAGCGGUGAAAUGCGUAGAGAUCGGGAGGAAUACCAGUGGCGAAGGCGGCCUUCUGGACUGACACUGACACUGAGGUGCGAAAGCGUGGGUAGCAAACAGGAUUAGAUACCCGUGUAGUC